rnacentral:piRNA from 1 species
UUCCAUGUAUGGCACACCACGGGCAUGGGC